rnacentral:rRNA from 1 species
UACAGAGGUCCCAAGCGUUGUUCGGAUUUACUGGGCGUAAAGGGUGCGUAGGUGGCGAGGUAAGUUCGAUGUGAAAUCUCCGAGCUCAACUCGGAAAUGGCAUUGAAUACUAUCCCGCUUGAGGGUCGGAGGGGAGACUGGAAUUCUCGGUGUAGCAGUGAAAUGCGUAGAUAUCUGCAGGAACACCCGUGGCGAAAGCGGCGCGCUGGACCACUACUGACGCUGAGGAACGAAAGCUAGGGGAGCAAACAGG